rnacentral:rRNA from 1 species
AGAGUUUGAUCCUGGCUCAGAACGAACGCUGGCGGCAGGCCUAACACAUGCAAGUCGAGCGAACCGCAAGGUUAGCGGCGGACGGGUGAGUAACGCGUGGGAACGUACCUUUUGCUACGGAAUAGCCCCGGGAAACUGGGAGUAAUACCGUAUACGCCCUGAGGGGGAAAGAUUUAUCGGCAAAAGAUCGGCCCGCGUUGGAUUAGGUAGUUGGUGGGGUAAUGGCCUACCAAGCCGACGAUCCAUAGCUGGUUUGAGAGGAUGAUCAGCCACACUGGGACUGAGACACGGCCCAGACUCCUACGGGAGGCAGCAGUGGGGAAUCUUAGACAAUGGGGGCAACCCUGAUCUAGCCAUGCCGCGUGAGUGAUGAAGGCCUUAGGGUUGUAAAGCUCUUUCAGUGGGGAAGAUAAUGACGGUACCCACAGAAGAAGCCCCGGCUAACUCCGUGCCAGCAGCCGCGGUAAUACGGAGGGGGCUAGCGUUGUUCGGAAUUACUG